rnacentral:rRNA from 1 species
CAAUACUGACACUGAGGAGCGAAAGCGUGGGGAGCGAACAGGAUUAGAUACCCUGGUAGUCCACGCCGUAAACGGUGGGCGCUAGUUGUGCGAACCUUCCACGGUUUGUGCGACGCAGCUAACGCAUUAAGCGCCCCGCCUGGGGAGUACGAUCGCAAGAUUAAAACUCAAAGGAAUUGACGGGGCCCCGCACAAGCAGCGGAGCAUGCGGCUUAAUUCGACGCAACGCGAAGAACCUCACCAAGGCUUGACAUAUACAGGAAUAUGGCAGAGAUGUCAUAGCGGUAAAACGUCUGUAUACAGGUGGUGCAUGGUUGUCGUCAGCUCGUGUCGUGAGAUGUUGGGUUAAGUCCCGCAACGAGCGCAACCCUCGUUCUGUGUUGCCAGCAUUUAGUUGGGGACUCACAGGAGACUGCCGGGGUUAACUCGGAGGAAGGUGGGGAUGACGUCAAAUCAUCAUGCCCCUUAUGUCUUGGGCUGCACGCAUGCUACAAUGGCUGGUACAAAGGGCUGCAAUACUGCAAAGUGGAGCGAAUCCCAAAAAGCCAGUCUCAGUUCGGAUUGGGGUCUGCAACUCGACCCCAUGAAGUCGGAGUUGCUAGUAAUCGUAGAUCAGCAACGCUACGGUGAAUACGUUCCCGGGGCUUGUACACACCGCCCGUCACAUCACGAAAGUCGGUAACACCCAAAGUCAGUGCCCCAACC